UAGGAUGAUGAAAUGCACUGGGCUCUGAGCAGUGUAUCUGCAAAUAGUUUUGAUGGAAGUGCACUUGCCUGGAAAGCAUUGUCUGACAU